rnacentral:lncRNA from 1 species
UUUCAUUUCUCCUUAACAGAGAAAGAUUAGAAGUUCCUCUUUGUUUUAUUUUGGUCUCACUGACUACAAGGUUCAGUUGAUUUGGCUGCAGAAUCUACAAGGAUAAAUGGAACAAGAGAGAGCUUGAACCAUUCAAGCUUUUAUGAUUGAAAAUGCACAUUUCUCAUGGGCACUCACAGAACUGAAACAGCAUGAUUUGCAAGCUUGCUAAAUGGAUUUCUUCCAAGCAAGUCAUUGGGGGCAGGGGAUGCCGGUGAUUGUGACUAGGUUCUUGCAUGCUUUUAUGGGAAUGAUACUGGCUAGUUUCUGCAGGUCCUGCUAAAUCCAGGAGGGUACAGAGAGAUGGGACAGUGCCCACACCACAGAGAGGAAUCCUUGUGGAAARUGAAGAGCAGGAGGGUGACAAGUCCCCCUUUCAUGCUUGCGGGAACAGUUUUGCAUCUUCUCGCUGGAUUGUUUGACAGAAUAUCAGAGCCUUGAACUUCAUUCCAAGAACUUGAGGAAAUCUCAUGUCUCCCUGCCAUUUUCCAGCCUCUCAUCUGAAGGAACAAACCCUAUCUCUCCCUGCCUGAUGCCGUCUGAAUUUCCUCCGGGAUUAUCUAAACAGUGCCACGUGACCCAU